GAAAAAAACCCUAGAAUCGAAUCCUCUUUACGUUGAGGAUCUUCAAAAGUCUUCUUUGUAUAUAACCUAAUCGAUCAGCGGUUCAGAGAAACGGUUAUGGUUUUUUCUAAUUAUAUCGUCGGCGCUAGUGAAGAUCCGGUGACGAAGACUUGCAUGAACGCUAUGGCGGUGAAGAUACUCGCUCUAGGAUCUGUUUUGGCGGUUCUAAGUUCUAAUGGUUAUUUCAAUAAAAAUAUUCGGCUUCGUGAAUCGUAAUUCGUGACAAUCAGCGACGGAGAUCGCGACGGAGAGACUGGGGAAUUCGUUUCCGAUAACGGUGGUGGUCUGGUGGAGGACUGCUUUGCCGUAAGAUUAGAGAUGGUGUCGUUUGGGCUCAGGACUAAGGUGCAAUUCUUCAAAGCCCAACAAUAUCAAUUUCAGCCCGCCAUAAAAGUCAAUUCUUAGCCCUAUUUUCUUUUUAGCCCUUAAAUUACUUAGAUUUACAAACUGAGAUAGAAGUUAUGAAUAUUUUUUUAUAAGGUUUUAAAAUUUUGAUUUUUUCCCAUCUAAGGGUUUUCAAAUUUAAUUUGGAUAUUAAAUUUAUAAAAUGAUAUGAAAGCUGACCGGAUUUUGAAUCCUGUCAUUUGACCU